rnacentral:rRNA from 1 species
UAAGGAAUAUUGGUCAAUGGAGGCAACUCUGAACCAGCCAUGCCGCGUGAAGGAUUAAGGCCCUCUGGGUUGUAAACUUCUUUUAUAUGGGAAGAAAUGUUCUGAUUCUUCAGAGCUUGACGGUACCAUAGGAAUAAGCACCGGCUAACUCCGUGCCAGCAGCCGCGGUAAUACGGAGGGUGCAAGCGUUAUCCGGAUUCACUGGGUUUAAAGGGUGCGUAGGUGGGCAGAUAAGUCAGUGGUGAAAUCUUCCGGCUUAACCGGAAAAUUGCCGUUGAUACUAUUUGUCUUGAAUAUUGUGGAGGUAAGCGGAAUAUGUCAUGUAGCGGUGAAAUGCUUAGAUAUGACAUAGAACACCAAUUGCGAAGGCAGCUUACUAUAUAAUUAUUGACACUGAGGCACGAAAGCGUGGGUAGCGAACA